UGCGUAGGCGGAUAAAUAAGUCAGAGGUGAAAUCCUACAGCUUAACUGUAGAACUGCCUUUGAUACUGUUUAUCUUGAAUUAGGUUAAGGUCAGCGGAAUGUGGCAUGUAGCGGUGAAAUGCUUAGAUAUGCCAUAGAACACCAAUUGCGAAGGCAGCUGGCUGGGCCUUAAUUGACGCUGAGGCACGAAAGCGUGGGGAGCGAACAGGAUUAGAUACCCUGGUAGUCC
rnacentral:rRNA from 1 species